rnacentral:rRNA from 1 species
AGGGGGCAAGCGUUGUUCGGAAUCACUGGGCUUAAAGGGCGCGUAGGCGGGUUCGCAAGUCUGUGGUGAAAGCCUCCAGCUUAACUGGAGAAGUGCCGUGGAUACUGCGAAUCUUGAGGAGGGUAGGGGCGUCUGGAACGGUCGGUGGAGCGGUGAAAUGCGUUGAUAUCGACCGGAACUCCGGUGGCGAAGGCGAGGCGCUGGACCCUUUCUGACGCUGAGGCGCGAAAGCCAGGGGAGCAAACGGG